CCUAACCGCUGCAUGAGCUUUUCUUUUCUGUAAAUUCUCAAACAUUAUUCUCAACUGGAUUGCUUGCAAAAACAUUUUGUACUUAAUAGUCUGAGAUUUUUCUCGAAUUUUAGCCAAUAAUUCAUUUUUAUGGGCAAAUCACAGCUCUUUAAAAGAGAAAUGUUGAUAGGCCUGAGGUUUCUGAAUGGUGUUUCUGAGUUAUACAGUUACCCCUUGUUAUUGGUGGGUACUGGUUCCAAGACUGUGCCCCAUUGAUACCAAAAUGCAUGGAUGGUCAAGUCCCUAAUAUAAAAUGGCAUAGUACUUACAUAUAACCUACUCACAUCCUCCAAUAUACUUUAAAUUGUCCCUAGAUUGCUUAUAACAGGGGUCUUGAAUCCCCGGGCUGCAGACCUAUACUGGUCCGUGGCCUGUGAGGAGGUGAGUAGUGGACAAGUGAGAGCAUUACCACCUGAGCUCUGCCUCUUGUCAGAUCAGUGGCAGAAGAUUCUCAUAGGAGUGGGAACCCUGUUGUGAACUGCGCAUGUGAGGGAUCUAGAUUGUAUGCUCCUUAAGAGAAUCUAAUGCCUGACAAUCUGAGGUUAAACAGUUUCAUCCCCAAACUAUCUACCCCUUCCCCUGCUGUCCCAUAGAAAAAUUGUCUCCCACAAAACCAGCCCCUGGUGUGAAAAUGGUUGGGGGGCCACUGGCUUAUAAUACCUAACACAAUGUAAAUGCUAUGUAAAUAGUUAUUAUAAUGUAUUGUUUAGGGACUAAUAACAGGAAAAAAGUCUAUACUUGUUCAGUACAUACACACUGUCCUUUUUUUCUGAAUAUUUUUGAUUUGUAGAUGGUUGAAUCCAUGGAUGUGGAACCCACGGAUAUGGAGGGCUGACUUUGUUCAACUAUGCUAAUCCUUUGGCCAGGUCACAUCCCUGUACUUCAGCUACUUUAUAAUCUGAAAGCUGUUCCUGCAUGGAAAGGAACCGCUAGACUGUUUUCCAAAGCAGCUGCACCAUUUUUACAUUCUUCCCUGAUCUGCAGAUGACAGAUGGAUGUAGCUGAAUCUAUGAAGGUGUGUACUUGUCCCAAAUGUGCAGGAUAAAUAAAUACAGAAGUCACCAACAGAAGACUCAGUCAAUGCUAGUGUCAGAGGCAUGUGAACCAGAGCAACUCCAUAGGAGCUGGGUAAAACGAGGCUGAGACCUACUGGUCUGCAUUCCCAGACGAUUAAGGCAUUCUAAGUCACAGGAUGAGAUAGGAGGUCGGCACAAGAUACAGGUCAUAAAGGCCUUGUUGAUAAAACAGGUUGCAGUAAAGAAGCCGGC
rnacentral:lncRNA from 1 species